AUUGAACGCUGGCGGCAGGCUUAACACAUGCAAGUCGAGCGGAGAGAGGUAGCUUGCUACUGAUCUUAGCGGCGGACGGGUGAGUAAUGCUUAGGAAUCUGCCUAUUAGUGGGGGACAACACUUCGAAAGGAAUGCUAAUACCGCAUACGUCCUACGAGAGAAAGCAAGGGAUCUUCGGACCUUGCGCUAAUAGAUGAGCCUAAGUCGGAUUAGCUAGUUGGUGGGGUAAAGGCCUACCAUGGCGACGAUCUGUAGCGGGUCUGAGAGGAUGAUCCGCCACACUGGGACUGAGACACGGCCCAGACUCCUACGGGAGGCAGCAGUGGGGAAUAUUGGACAAUGGGCGCAAGCCUGAUCCAGCCAUGCCGCGUGUGUGAAGAAGGCCUUAUGGUUGUAAAGCACUUUAAGCGAGGAGGAGGCUACUUUAGUUAAUACCUAGAGAUAGUGGACGUUACUCGCAGAAUAAGCACCGGCUAACUCUGUGCCAGCCGCCGCGGUAACAC
rnacentral:rRNA from 1 species